rnacentral:rRNA from 1 species
GAUGAACGCUGGCGGCGUGCCUAAUACAUGCAAGUCGAGCGAAUGGAUUAAGAGCUUGCUCUUAUGAAGUUAGCGGCGGACGGGUGAGUAACACGUGGGUAACCUGCCCAUAAGACUGGGAUAACUCCGGGAAACCGGGGCUAAUACCGGAUAACAUUUUGAACCGCAUGGUUCGAAAUUGAAAGGCGGCUUCGGCUGUCACUUAUGGAUGGACCCGCGUCGCAUUAGCUAGUUGGUGAGGGAACGGCUCACCAAGGCAACGAUGCGUAGCCGACCUCAGAGAGGGAGCAGCCACACUGGGACUGGGACACGGCCCAGACGCCUACGGGUGGCAGUAGUAGGGAAUCUUCCGCAAUGGACGAAAGUCUGACAGAGCAACGACGCGUGAGUGAUGAAGGCGGUCGGGUCGUAAAACUCUGUUGUUAGGGAAGAACAAGUGCUAGUUGAAUAAGCUGACACCUUGACGGUACCUAACCAGAAAGCCACGGCUAACCACGUGCCAGCCGCCGCGGUAA